rnacentral:tRNA from 1 species
ACAAGGAAUAGUUUAUAAAAAUUAUAAUUUUGGAGGUUAUAGAUGGGAAUUUCUCUUCCUUG